rnacentral:rRNA from 1 species
AAAGGCUUACCAAGGCGAUGAUGCAUAGCCGAGUUGAGAGACUGAUCGGCCACAUUGGGACUGAGACACGGCCCAAACUCCUACGGGAGGCAGCAGUAGGGAAUCUUCCACAAUGGACGCAAGUCUGAUGGAGCAACGCCGCGUGAGUGAAGAAGGUUUUCGGAUCGUAAAGCUCUGUUGUUGGUGAAGAAGGAUAGAGGUAGUAACUGGCCUUUAUUUGACGGUAAUCAACCAGAAAGUCACGGCUAACUACGUGCCAGCAGCCGCGGUAAUACGUAGGUGGCAAGCGUUGUCCGGAUUUAUUGGGCGUAAAGCGAGCGCAGGCGGAAGAAUAAGUCUGAUGUGAAAGCCCUCGGCUUAACCGAGGAACUGCAUCGGAAACUGUUUUUCUUGAGUGCAGAAGAGGAGAGUGGAACUCCAUGUGUAGCGGUGGAAUGCGUAGAUAUAUGGAAGAACACCAGUGGCGAAGGCGGCUCUCUGGUCUGCAACUGACGCUGAGGCUCGAAAGCAUGGGUAGCGAACAGGAUUAGAUACCCUGGUAGUCCAUGCCGUAAACGAUGAGUGCUAAGUGUUGGGAGGUUUCCGCCUCUCAGUGCUGCAGCUAACGCA